rnacentral:rRNA from 1 species
GAAUUCGCCCUUAGAGUUUGAUCCUGGCUCAGGACGAACGCUGGCGGCGUGCUUAAUACAUGCAAGUCGAACGGAGUUAAGGGUUUCGGCCUUUAACUUAGUGGCGAACGGGUGAGUAACGCGUGAAUAACCUGACUCAAAGAGGGGGAUAACAACGGGAAACUGUUGCUAAUACCGCAUGAGACCACAACACCGCAUGAUGAAGGGGUCAAAGAUUUAUCGCUUUGAGAGGGGUUCGCGUCCCAUUAGGUAGUUGGAGGGGUAACGGCCCACCAAGCCAACGAUGGGUAGCCGAGCUGAGAGGCUGAUCGGCCACACUGGAACUGAGACACGGUCCAGACUCCUACGGGAGGCAGCAGUAGGGAAUAUUGGGCAAUGGGCGCAAGCCUGACCCAGCAACGCCGCGUGAGGGAAGAAGGUUUUCGGAUUGUAAACCUCUGUCCUAUGUGACGAAGGAAGUGACGGUAGCAUAGGAGGAAGCCACGGCUAACUACGUGCCAGCAGCCGCGGUAAUACGUAGGUGGCAAGCGUUAUCCGGAAUUACUGGGUGUAAAGGGAGCGCAGGCGGGAUAGCAAGUCAGCUGUGAAAACUAUGGGCUCAACCCAUAAACUGCAGUUGAAACUGUUGUUCUUGAGUGAAGUAGAGGUAAGCGGAAUUCCUAGUGUAGCGGUGAAAUGCGUAGAUAUUAGGAGGAACAUCGGUGGCGAAGGCGGCUUACUGGGCUUUUACUGACGCUGAGGCUCGAAAGCGUGGGGAGCAAACAGGAUUAGAUACCCUGGUAGUCCACGCUGUAAACGAUGAUUACUAGGUGUGGGGGGACUGACCCCUUCCGUGCCGCAGUUAACACAAUAAGUAAUCCACCUGGGGAGUACGACCGCAAGGUUGAAACUCAAAGGAAUUGACGGGGGCCCGCACAAGCAGUGGAGUAUGUGGUUUUAAUUCGAAGCAACGCGAAGAACCUUACCAGGUCUUGACAUCGUAUGCAUAGUCUAGAGAUAGAUGAAAUCCCUUCGGGGACAUAUAGACAGGUGGUGCAUGGUUGUCGUCAGCUCGUGUCGUGAGAUGUUGGGUUAAGUCCCGCAACGAGCGCAACCCUUACCAUUAGUUGCUACGCAAGAGCACUCUAAUGGGACUGCCGUUGACAAAACGGAGGAAGGUGGGGAUGACGUCAAAUCAUCAUGCCCCUUAUGACCUGGGCUACACACGUACUACAAUGGCAAUAAAACAGAGGGAAGCAAAACAGCGAUGUGGAGCAAAUCCCGAAAAAUUGUCUCAGUUCAGAUUGCAGGCUGAAACUCGCCUGCAUGAAGUCGGAAUUGCUAGUAAUCGCAGAUCAGCAUGCUGCGGUGAAUAAAUUCCCGGGCCUUGUACUCACCGCCCGUCA